AUGGCGAACCAAGAGGCGCAUCACCACUAUCACCAUUACCUCGUCCUGGCCAUUAUCUUAGUACUCCCUCUCCUCCUCCUCGUCAAGCUCCGUCCGCGCAAGCACGGCGGGGAGAACCCUCCACCGGGGCCAUGGCAGCUGCCGGUCAUCGGCAGCCUGCACCACCUCGUCGGCGCGCUCCCGCACCGCGCCAUGCGCGACCUCGCCCACCGGCUCGACGCGCCGCUCAUGCUGCUCCGCCUCGGCGAGCUCCGGGUCGUCGUCGCCUCGUCGGCCGGCGCGGCGCGGGAGGUCAUGAAGACCCACGACGCCGCCUUCGCCACGCGGCCGCGCACCGCCACCAUCCGCGCGCUCACCAGGGACGGCCUCGGCGUGGCGUUCGCGCCGCACGGCGCGCACUGGCGCGAGAUCCGGAAGCUCUGCGUCACCGAGCUGCUCGGCGCGCGCCGGGUCCGGUCCCUCCGGGGGUCACGCGAGGCCGAGGCCGCGAGCCUCGUCGCCUCCGUCGUUGCGUCGCUGGCGGCGUCGGCGUCGGAGCCCGUGAACGUCAGCACGCUCCUCGCAACCUACGUCACCGACGCGGUGGUGCGCGCCGUGGUGGGCGAUAGGAUCGGGGACCUCCGCGACGAGUUCCUGGAUCGCCUGGACGAGGGCGUCAAGGUGGCCGCUGGGUUCAGCCUCGCCGACCUGUUCCCGUCGUCACGUCUCGCGCGCGCGUUCAGCGGGGCGGCACGCCGCGCGGAGGCGCACAGCCGUGAGAUGUCUCGGCUCAUGGACGGCAUCAUCGCCGAGCACCGGGAGCGCAAGAGGACGGCCGGCGCUGGCGACGAUGACAGAGACCUCCUCGACGUGCUACUGCGGAUCCAGGCGGACGGUGGCCUCCGCGCACCUCUCGACAUUGGAACCAUCCGUGCGGUGAUCACGGAUCUAUUCGGAGCAGGGAGCGAGACCUCGGCGACGACGCUCCAAUGGGCCAUGGCGGAGCUCAUGCGGAGCCCGGCGGCGCUCCGGAGGGCCCAGGCGGAGGUGCGGGGCGCCCUCCCGGGGGAGAGCCGCGUCCGGGAGGAGGUCCUGCCGGAGCUACGCUACCUGCAUCUCGUAAUCAAGGAGACGCUCCGGCUGCAUCCGGCGGUGCCGCUGCUCCUCCCGCGGGAGUGCACGGAGCCCCAGAGCAUGCUCGGCCACGACGUUCCCAAGGGCGCCAUGGUGCUCGUCAACGCGUGGGCGAUCGGGCGGGACACGGCGAGCUGGGGCGUCGACGCCGAGGAGUUCAGGCCGGAGAGGUUCGAAGAGGCCGGCGGCGGCAGACUUUCGGGGGGCGGACUUCGAGCUCGUGCCGUUCGGCGCAGGCCGGAGGAUGUGCCCAGGGAUAACGUUCGGGCUCGCCGUCAUGGAGCUCGCGUUGGCGAGCCUCCUCUUCCACUUCGACUGGGAGCUCCCCGGCGGCGCGGGUGGACUGGACAUGGCGGAGGCGCUCGGGAUCACAGCGAGGAGGAAAAGCGAUCUGUGGCUGCAUGCCACCGUUCAUGUGCCACUUUAGUAUAUAGCUGUACGGGAUCGUUUUGUGUCCGCGCGAGAUCGUGUUAUCAAUCUGCGGCUCUUCUGUUUGAUGCUUUGCAGAUACCACUUUUGCGUGCACUUUUUCACUUUAGCUAUGUGUAUAUAAGAUGGCUGAAAAUUGAGUUUGGGCCAGUCGAUUUUCCAGACAGUUGA
rnacentral:rRNA from 1 species